rnacentral:rRNA from 1 species
AGAGUUUGAUCGUGGCUCAGGAUGAACGCUAGCGGCGCGCUUAAUGCAUGCAAGUCGAGCGAUGAGGCUCCUUCGGGAGUACAUCAGCGGCAGACGGGUGAGUAACACGUAGGUGACCUACCCCAAAGACGGGGAUAACCGGUGGAAACAUUGGCUAAUACCCGAUACGCUCAAGGGGUCAAAGCCUUGAGGAAAGCUUCGGUGCUUUGGGUGGGGCCUGCGGCCCAUCAGCUAGUUGGUAGGGUAACGGCCUACCAAGGCAGAGACGGGUAGGGGGUGUGAGAGCACGGCCCCCCACAAUGGGACUGAGACACGGCCCAUACUCCUACGGGGGGCAGCAGCAGGGAAUAUUGCCCAAUGGACGGAAGUCUGAGGCAGCGACGCCGCGUGGGUGAUGACGGCCUUCGGGUUGUAAAGCCCUUUUUCUGGGGGAAGAGAGAGGACGGUACCCCAGGAAUAAGCGUCGGCUAACUACGUGCCAGCAGCCGCGGUAAGACGUAGGACGCGAGCGUUAUCCGGAUUUACUGGGCGUAAAGCGUCUGUAGGCGGUCGACUAAGUUGGGCGUGAAAGCUCCGGGCUCAACCCGGAGAGGCCGUUCAAUACUGGUUGGCUAGAGGGUGUCAGAGGGGCGUGGAAUUCCCGGUGUAGCGGUAAAAUGCGCAGAUAUCGGGAGGAACACCAGUGGCGAAGGCGGCGCCCUGGGGCAUACCUGACGCUGAGAGACGAAAGCUAGGGGAGCGAACAGGAUUAGAGACCCUGGUAGUCCUAGCCCUAAACGCUGGAUGCUAGUGUGGGGUCGAGUUGACUCUGUGCCGCAGCUAACGCGAUAAGCAUCCCGCCUGGGGACUACGGCCGCAAGGUUAAAACUCAAACGAAUUGACGGGGACCCGCACAAGCAGCGGAGCGUGUGGUUUAAUUCGAUUCUACACGAAGAACCUUACCUGGGUUUGACAUGCAUGUGGUAGCGAAGCGAAAGCGGAGCGACCCUUCGGGGAGCGUGCACAGGUGCUGCAUGGCUGUCGUCAGCUCGUGCCGUGAGGUGUCGGGUUAAGUCCCGUAUCGAGCGCAACCCUUGCCCUUAGUUAUACGUGUCUAGGGGGACUGCCGGCGGGAAGCCGGAGGAAGGUGGGGAUGACGUCAAGUCAGCAUGGCCUUUAUGUCCAGGGCUACACACACGCUACAAUGGCCGGUACAAAGGGCAGCAAAGCCGCGAGGUGGAGCGAAUCCCAGCAAAGCCGGUCGUAGUUCGAAUAGCAGGCUGCAACCCGCCUGCUUGAAGCUGGAGUUGCUAGUAACCGCGCGUCAGCCAUAGUGCGGUGAAUACGUUCCCGGGUCUUGUGCACACCGCCCGUCACGUCAUGGGAGUCGGUAACGCCUGAAGCCGGUAGCUUAGCCCUUACGGGGGAGCGCUGUCGAGGGUGGGGCUGGCGACUGGGACGAAGUCGUAACAAGGUA